GCAUUAAUGGGGUAGUGGUAACCUGGGUCGUUGCCAUCUAGCGAGCGAUAACCUCUCCGAGUAAGCUUCGACCCGCCGGGGGUUCGAUUCCCUCUUAAUGCA